AAGUUAAGGAUAGGUUGUAGAGACUUGGGAAAACCCCCAAAAUAUUAGUAUGGUCUUAACACCGCAAGUCUCCUAAUUAUAGAAAUCAAUUUGGAUACUUGUUAUGCCAUGGCCUUGAAACCUCACCCCUAAAUGAGUCUUUAAGUAGUUUAUCUUAACAGUCAACACCAUCUGAAUUACCACUGAGUAAGCGGAUCGAUGCAAAUAGGUGAAUGAUCCCGUGCUAAAAA
rnacentral:lncRNA from 1 species